UCUCUCUCUUUCUCUCUCUCUAUAUAUCUAUAUAAAUAGAGGUAUCAUUCCUUUCAAAGUCGGGAUUCAGCAUCCUGUUCGCUAUUCAGUCAAUGAAUUGGAGCUCUGAAAAUAAAUUGAAUUGAAUUCAGUUCUAAAUGCAGUACAAUCCUAGUUUUAAAACCCAUCUGUCACGCUGCUAUAGGAUCCGCUCUUCAGCAUCUCAAGCGAUGCUCAUCUCCACACUCUCAUCUGGAGUGAUGUGAAGCUAAAUCAAACAGUGAUUCUAGAGGAAGUACACACAGCCAGCAGCGUUUUGAUACGUGUCAGCGUGUCGACCUGAAGCACAGCUGGUGGUGAAGCACACGGCGAGAAUGCGGCUCUGGGCUAAAAAUAGGAGUGUUUCAUUUCUACAUGCUCUACAUGUGUAAGGUUUCCCAUGGUGAGAUGGAGAAUGAGGUCAGCAGUGAAAUAAUACAGACACCAACUUUAAAAGGAAUCAAGACUUAACAUCUCAAACACACCGACAAUCAAGUCCCAGUAGAGACUGACACAGUAUUCACAUGCAACCGACAACGUUUGGAGUUUGAUAUGAAUUCUGUAGCUUAAACACUGCUUUAAAGGUACAGUUAUAAAUGAAAAAUUUGCUUAAUUUACUCAGGCCAUCCAAGAUGACUUUUCAAUAUAUCAUCAGAAGCCGCCUGUAUGUGCUUUUUUGACUCUCAGUGACAGCAGAUGCUUAUUUACAUUUUAUGAAUCACCAAGGACCACAAUUUCAGCAAAAAAAAAAUCUUCUUUACUCUUCUACUAAAGAAAAAAAGUUAUCUAUAUCUUGGAUGACCUUACGGUGAGUAAAUUAACAGCAAAAUUUCAUUUCUGGGUGAACUAUCACUCUAAGAUUCUGAGCACUUCAGCCAAUUCAGAACUUUAGAUGUCAGUAUUUUCUCCUCAUCAGGCAUCCUGAUCCUGGAUUGCCAAAGCUCAGAUGGCCAAUAUAAGCAGCUUAAAUGGCUUUCACACUUGAUCUCCACAAACAAAAUGCUAGAUGCUGAUUGGUUCUUCUCUGUUUCAGUGGGCGGGGUAUGUAUCUAUCAGAGAGACGAGUGUCAGGGGAAAUUCUUCUUAUGCUCAUCACCUUAAACACAAGCAAUAUACUCAUAUUUAGGGAAUAAAAUGAAGUCAUCACUGUGUCCCUCCUUGACUUUGUGUGUGUGUGUGUGUGCGUGUGUUUUCUCAUAGGCAGGAUUGCACUUCCACAGACUUCACAGAUGCAAUGCAGUUGCCAAGGCAACAUCGCCAGGCAGCUGAGUGUGAGAGAAAGUGAAGGAGACUGACUUUACUCUCACGCAGAAACACAGAUACUCUUACGAGGGUUAUUUGAAGACAUCGCUUCGCUUCAUCUACUCAACAUAUUCAAUUAACCCUCUGUGUGGAGAGACUAGAUUUCACUUUUUUUCUGUUGGUGGUUGCUAAGGUGUUCAGAGUGGUUGUUAACUUUUAACACAUUUCUGUGGAGUUGCUAAACUGUUCUUUUUUUAGUGGGUUGCUAUGUAGUUGCUAGGGUGUUCUGGAUGGUUAUGGGUUUUAGUGUGUUGCUAUGUGGUUGCUAGGGUGUUCUGGGUGGUUUUGGUUUUACUGUGUUGCUAUGUUUUUCCUAAGCUGUUCUUGGUUUUUAGUACGUUGCUAUGUGGUUGCUAGGGUGUUCUGGGUGGUUUUGGUUUUAGUGUGUUGCUAUGUGGUUGCUAGGGUGUUCUUUGUUUUUAGUACGUUGCUAUGUGGUUGCUAGGGUGUUCUGGGUGGUUUUGGUUUUAGUGUGUUGGUAUGUUGUUCCUAAGCUGUUCUUUGUUUUUAGUACGUUGCUAUGUGGUUGCUAGGGUGUUCUGGGUGGUUUUGGUUUUAGUGUGUUGCUAUGUGGUUGCUAGGGUGUUCUGGGUGGUUUGGUUUUAGUGUGUUGCUAUGUUGUUCCUAAGCUGUUCUUUGUUUUUAGUACGUUGCUAUGUGGUUGCUAGGGUGUUCUGGGUGGUUUUGGUUUUUAUGUGUUGCUAUGUUUUUCCUAAGCUGUUCUUUGUUUUUAGUACGUUGCUAUGUGGUUGCUAGGGUGUUCUGGGUGGUUUGUAGGGUGUUGCUUAGCAGUUGUUAUAAGUGUUUUUGGUUUAAGUGUGCUGCUUUGUGAUUGCUAAGUUGCUUGCUUGGAUUUUAGUAUGUUAUUAUGCAAUUGUUAAAUUAUUCUAGUUGGUUUUUAGUGUGUUGCUAAGUUGAUCGGGUGGUUUAUAGUGCAUUACUCUGCCGUUGCCGUUUUUUAUAUGGUUGCCAGGGUGUUCUGAGAGGUUUCAGAGCGUCUGUGCUAUACUUGUCACUAGAUGUAAGUUUUCCGGGAUUAAUCCACCUGUUUUGAUGUACACAAGUCUGAUGCAUAGAAAAGUUAUACAAGCUACCAGGUUACAAACCUAAGUACAUACCCUAAGUAUAAGCACUAGUAAUAGUGUUGCUUGCCUUAGCAAACACAGCUAACCACAACCUGUGUUUUGUUCUAAGGAUGGUGCCAUGUGAAUUACACACUAGCAGCAGUUAAUUGCAGUGUAGCGUCUGUUGCCAUCAAUAGCUUUUGGAAACAUUGGUAUUAAUGUUCAGUCCACGUUUGACAUCCUGCGCUUGGCACUCAAAAUGACAGGCCACGAGUGAGACGACUCCCAACGUGUAAUCAGCUGCGCAUCUCUGCAGAGCUUUAUAGCGUCUCUUCACAUUAUCUCGCAAUGGCAAGCGUCUCGAGAGCCAAUUGGAUAAGUGUCAAGUGUCAACAUUCAUACUGCUCUCAGAGGGAAAAUACACUGAAUGGGGAACGUCACAAGGCUUCACUAUGGCUAAGUUGGCACUAGCACCAGUUCUGCCGUGAGCUUUACCACUGUACUUAUGGCUAAACAGUUUCUGGCUGUGAUUUUCUCCUGUAAGCAUGUGAAGUUGCACACUGGCUGAGAACGAGGCACUAUGUUUUUCACACCACUUUGUUCACAACAAGUUGGAUUCACCAAUUGUCUGUCCAUAAAUUAACAAGUAUGUGCUAAAUUUAACACACUUAUAUGUCUUUGAAUUCCCAGAAUACACUUCACUGAGCUCCGCCUUCAUUGGUUACAGUUGCUAACUCAGAAUAUCCCAUAGAAAUGGUGCAAUGUUGAGUAAAAUUUCAUUCUUACAUGAGUUGGACCUAUAUAAAGCAUUUCAUUUACGUUUUUUUCAACACACUCUCAUGGCAAUUUGUAACUAUUUUACAUUUGGCAAACUGGCCGCUAAUUCGAUACAAUCUCAUUUGUGCAGUCUUGUAUGAUCUGCUUACACCCCAAUUACUGUUAUGUUUAGGGAUGGACUUUCUUGUAUACAUUUAUUUAAUCAUUCAUUCAGCUGAUUCAUUCAAAAGCAAUGGUUCAUUCAGCAACAAAACAAGUGACUUUAUUAAUGGGUCAUUGAAUCAUUCUCUCAACUGAUUUGUUUAAAAUGCUGACUCAUUAUGAUUCAAGUGAUUGUCUGGGUGUGUCAAUUAUUCACUCAGCUGAUUUGUUUAAAAACACUGAAUCAUUUAGCAAACAUGUGGCA
ensembl:lncRNA